rnacentral:tRNA from 1 species
GCACCGUGUCUAAUGGUUAGGAUAUCUGCCUUCCGAGCAGAUGGUCCGGGUUCAAUUCCCGGACGGUGCA